AGGGUCAGCCCCAGAUCCAAAUGAAUCGUGGUAUUCAAAAGGCAAAAGAAUAAAGACAUGUGAUCUACAUGAUGCAAUGGGCUAAGGAGAUUUGGCCAGUUGGACCGAAGGGCUUGGCAUAACACACAGCUGGCUUCAGGCGCGUGCCGCCCCCACCUCUCCUGACCCCUAAAAACACCUUCAUUGCUUCCAGGUAGAAGAAAGUGGCUUGAGCUUAUAGAGGAGGAGGGUUUGCUACACUGGGUUGACUCUCAGGUUUCUUGGAAGUGUAGGGGACAGUGGGGAGUGGGGAAAAGGUGAUUGACAGGACAAGAUAAAUAGAGCUAGCUGAUCCGGAUCCUCUCACCUCUCAAUAAUGGUGAUAAUAGUUAGCAUUUCUGAGCUUUGGCUGUAAGACAGGCAGCGAAUUAGGUGUUUGUCAUGUUAUCUCUGGUUCUCACAACUCUCAAGGUGGCUUUUAUUUUAUUUAUUUAUUAUUAUUUUCUGUAGAAACAAGGUCUUGCGAUGUUGCCCACAGGCUGGUCUCCCACUGGUCUCAAGCAAUCCUCCCACCUCAGCCUCCUAAAGUGCUGGAACUACAGGCAUGAGCCACCUCGCCCAGCCUCCAAGCUGCUGCUGCCGCCGGCUGCACCCUCUGCCGGGGAUGUCUGCAGUGCGCCUGCGUGAGGCCCCUCCACGGGACUGAGCUUCCUCACAGCAUUGCAAGUUCCAAGAACGAAUGUCCCGGGCAAGGGAGCCGGAUGCAAGCUGUACCGCCUUCUAUAGACGUGGAAGUCACACAGCAUCACUUCUACUCUUCCUGAGAUUCAAGUUCACCUCUCCGCAGGAGGAGAGUUAAAGUGUCCUUGUAAGAAGAGCCCGUGGAUGGGAGAUGUUGUCGCGGUCACCGUUGGACGUUUUUUCUGCCACGAUUCUUGUUCGAAUGGAAGAGACGGAGUCACCCUAUGUUGCCCAGGCUGGUCUCAAAC